UGGGUUCAAGUCCCUCUAUCCCCA
rnacentral:tRNA from 2 species